rnacentral:rRNA from 1 species
ACUUUUAGCAAUGGAUCUCUAGGCUCUCAUAUCGAUGAAGAACACAGUGAAAUGUGAUAAUUAAUGUGAAUUGCAGAAUUCAGUGAAUCAUCAAGUUUUUGAACGCACCUUGCACCUUUUGGUAUUCCAAAAGGUACACCUGUUUGAGUGUCAU